CCCCCCCCCCGUCGACGGAAUCCGGUCAUUCUUAUCGGGGUGUAUCGUUUUCGGUCAAUUGAACGAACGGAAUCGUUCGUCGGACGCGGUCGCGCUUUUGCUUUCGUUCACGUUCGGAAUUAGAGAGAGCGAAUCGCCGAACGUGUAAGAAAUUGUAGUUCAUUAAACGCGCGUUAUUUCGGUUACUCGACUGUUAAUCAUUGAACAGGGUUUAUUUCCGGAGGUCAUUGAUUGAUAAACGAUACGAUACAAACAUAAAUCAGCGGAGGUUCGCUACCCGCCAUCUGAUGUGUAUAGCUGUACUAUAAUACACGAUCGGGCGCAAGUGGCGUGACUAUUUAGCCGCAAAACGAGCUCCACGGGCAAUUUAUCUUGCUAUCGAAGAACGCGACGUAAUAUGGGUACCCCACACCCAUAAAAUAUACCCAUGCGGCUACCGCAAAUGUUGGUAAACACAGUUACUUUUUUGAUAAAAUUGAAUUGAUACUGUUAUUAAAGUUGAUCUACUAUAUACGAUAUAACGUCUGUACAUAAAACUCGCGUACACCUAUGUACCUGGAAACGAGCCACACGUAUAUGGGAAUUAUAAUCGACGCCCCGGUCGCAGUAACAUCGGAUCCUUCGCCAAGAAAUAAUAAACCAGAGAGAACCCUACGGAAAAUCGGGGUAUCCGAAUAAAUAAGCAAUUCUCGAGCUCGAACUUUGUGGUCUUAAUUGAACGCAGACCGUCGACCGUUAAUUAAAACAAUGGAACAUGAAUUUUGUACAUCGGAAUCCCGAAACUCGCGAGAUUUAUUAUCCGCGGGUAUCUCAGUAUCGGAUGGGUCGGAUACACGUCGGCAGGUAUUUCGCGAUUCGCGACCUAUAAUGUAUCGGCAUUUUCAGCGUUACCGAGCCUGGGUGUGCCUAUCAAUCAACCGGCAUUCCGCCGGACCGCGGUUGAACACCGUUGGAUAGGGGAUACCAUUAUCCUGCCAAGAGUUAACUCGGCUCUGGUGAUGCACGACCGACUUUGCUCCGAUCUCAUGGUGUGUUAUCGGUCGCUUAUGGAUACGGCAAAAUGCCCGAUCGACCCGAACGGCUAACCCGGAUCCCGAAGCGGUAGUGAUCCUUCGGAUCAUCCUUUCAACGGUAUAAUUCCAGCUCUCCUAGAGUCCCCUCGAGUAAUAUCGGGGUCUGCGAAAAGAAAAACGAAAAAAUCAUCGUCCGCAUUUUUCUUUUUUUUUUUUUUUGUUUUUGUUUUCUUCGAUAUCUUCGCUCCCCUUUACGCUAGUCAAGCUCGAGGAAUGUCCGCAGCGCACAAUUCAACGGGGUCCCCGCGGGACGAAGAUCAAAACUGAGCCGAUCGGAGACUUCGAUCGGUUCUUCGGCGAUUUUUUUUCGCGCGAAAUCUGAUGGGCCUAAAUCUUCGGUAGAGGAGGUGAAAAUUGACUUGGUAAUGAUAUUUCCGUCGAUUUGUCGAGGUAACGGCGAAUAAUGGAUAAUAUCUGGUGACCGGCCCAUAUCUUCGAUCGAUUCCCGAAGGGUUGAAUCGACGGGUACGAGAAGAUUGUCGUAUCGAUUUCAAGGUGUAUUCCGGAUCGCAAUCGCGUACGGGUGGAGACGUACCGUCGAGGUCGUUUAACGUUAUCUAAAACAGUGUUGAAUUUAAAAAUAUAUCACGGGCCAUCGGUUGGCCUCUGGCCGCUAUGAAGUCCGGGCGUGGGUCGUUCGACUCCGAGUUUACGGUCACGGGGUUUUUGUACGGUGCGGAUGGUAGGUAGUCGAGUAUUCGAGCAGGAGCGACUUUGCUCUACCUAUACGGCGACGGCUCGAGUUCCUCGGAGAACUCGCCAAGCAAGAAACCACAUUUGACUUCGACCCAAGAAUAUAAAUCUUCCUUGGACAGAGGGACCGCCCUCACCUUCCAUCGACCAACCACAAAUUCAGGAACUAUGUACGUCAAAAAAUGAGGAUACCACUCGUCAACGAGAAUUUAUUCAGUUUGAUCGUCGCCAUUCCGAGGCUCAUUUCCCGAUUGGAGAAUUUUCUCGAAAUAAGAGUACAGGAUGAGAAGAUAAUUCCAAUAUCCACGAGACCCUCGUUGACCGAUUAGAAAUGAAAUAGAAAAAUUAGAAAAUAAAAGGAACAAUAAAAAACACUUAAAAUCACCUACCGCCGCACGUCUCGAUUACACGAUCAUAAUAUUCCUCGUUGAUGGAGUAAUGCGUGUAAAUCACUGCAAAAAGUGUAACGUAAUUAUAUGUGUACUAUAUACUCGUUAUAAGUGUAAACCUGGUUUGCUAUAUGUGGAGCCAAACAAAACAAAAAUGAAAAUAUGUAUGUUCCAGUACAACCUAUAUGUAAUUGCGUAUAUGUAAAAUGUGUAAUAUUCGACACGCUCGAACCGCGGGGACUUUAGUCGCAGUUUGAAAAUAAAAUUUCAUCCAAAAAAA
rnacentral:lncRNA from 1 species